UAUUCAUGGUUUGGGCAUUGUAAUAAAAGUGAUUUGAAGCGAUCCCAUGCUUCAUGAAAGGAUUCAAUAUCUUUUUAAUAAAAGUUGGAAAUUUCAGCCUUAAUUCU
rnacentral:snoRNA from 1 species